AAAUCCACAAUGAGCAGGUUCGUUGUCAUCCUAGUGCUGUCCUUCCUGCUCCUGAUGAGGUCCUCGGCUCCACUCGGCACCCUCGCCGCCGCUGGUUCGUCUGUGGGAUGCAAGCCAGGCAUGGCAGUGAUUGCCACGGAGAAGCGUGAUUCCCUACUGUUAGAUAGAUCGGCAGCAUAUCGUCGACUUCUCCAUAAUGACAAUCCGACUGGGAAGAACCCGGGGAAGGUACACGAUCCUCCUGUAUCCGGGACACGGUACAACGGAGACUGAUAUUCAUCAAGCAUCCCAGCAAUAGAAAGGGUGAAAUACUCUUGGGUGUAAUGUCUAUAUAUGAGACCAUGACCCGGCCCAUGCAAGUAAAUUUUGCGACGAACUGAAAAAACGUAGUAGUGUUAUAGUGUCCUAGAGUGCUUUGCAUAUACUCCUGCACGUAUAUGGAUUUUGCCUUCGGCUAGCUCCGCCAGGGAUAUAUAUGUUUUCCAUGUAUAAUUGAUGUCCUGGGUUGUUCUA